rnacentral:rRNA from 1 species
CCUGAGAAACCCAAAAGAUCGAAUGGGGAGAUUCAUCGUCAGCGAUCUCGGCGGCCGAGCGGUUCGCGAUGCCGCGGGACUCGGUCCCCGCGGCACGCGUUCCGUACGGUUCGUUAAGCCGGGUGUCGUCGGCGUGCACUUCUCCCCUAGUAGGACGUCGCGACCCGUUGGGUGUCGGUCUACGGCCCGGGUGGGCGCCUGUCGCGCGUCACGCUUCGCGGCGUCGCGCGGCAGACCCCCGGCUGCCCGACCAGCUGCCCGGCGGUACUCGCAUGGUAUCGAGCCGCAAAAAUUUUGAACUGCGUCCGGCCCGCCGCAAGCGAGGCCAGUGUUUCCCGGAUGUUACGGACCUGGCGCCGUCACCGGGCCUGGCCAGCUGUUGGUCGGCGGUAUCCUGGGACUGGCUCGCAAAAUGAUACCGGUCGGCGACG